rnacentral:rRNA from 1 species
AGCAGCCGCGGUAAUUCCAGCUCCAAUAGCGUAUAUUAAAGUUGUUGCAGUUAAAAAGCUCGUAGUUGAAUUUCGGGAUCAAGUCGUCGGUCGUGCUCAGGUACGUACUGGCGUCAUUGAUUUCUCCCUUCUGACGAACCAUGAUGUCAUUAAUUUGGUGUUAUGGGAAAUCAGGACUGUUACUUUGAAAAAAUUAGAGUGUUUAAAGCAGGCUCACGCUUGAAUACAUUAGCAUGGAAUAAUGAAAUAGGACGUUCGAUCCUAUUUUGUUGGUUUUAGGAUCAACGUAAUGAUUAAUAGGGAUAGUUGGGGGCAUUAGUAUUCAAUUGUCAGAGGUGAAAUUCUUGGAUUUAUUGAAGACUAACUACUGCGAAAGCAUUUGCCAAGGAUGUUUUCAUUAAUCAAGAACGAAAGUUAGGGGAUCGAAGACGAUCAGAUACCGUCGUAGUCUUAACCAUAAACUAUGCCGACUAGGGAUCGGAUGAUGUUAAUUUUUUUAAUGACUCAUUCGGCGCCUUAC